UGACGACUCAAACGAGAACUUCGGUGUC
rnacentral:sRNA from 1 species